rnacentral:rRNA from 1 species
GACGUGCUAAUCUGCGAUAAGCGUCGGUAAGGUGAUAUGAACCGUUAUAACCGGCGAUUUCCGAAUGGGGAAACCCAGUGUGAUUCGUCACACUAUCAUUAACUGAAUCCAUAGGUUAAUGAGGCGAACCGGGGGAACUGAAACAUCUAAGUACCCCGAGGAAAAGAAAUCAACCGAGAUUCCCCCAGUAGCGGCGAGCGAACGGGGAGCAGCCCAGAGCCUGAAUCAGUGUGUGUGUUAGUGGAAGCGUCUGGAAAGGCGUGCGAUACAGGGUGACAGCCCCGUACACAAAAAUGCACAUACUGUGAGCUCGAUGAGUAGGGCGGGACACGUGGUAUCCUGUCUGAAUAUGGGGGGACCAUCCUCCAAGGCUAAAUACUCCUGACUGACCGAUAGUGAACCAGUACCGUGAGGGAAAGGCGAAAAGAACCCCGGCGAGGGGAGUGAAAAAGAACCUGAAACCGUGUACGUACAAGCAGUGGGAGCACGCUUAGGCGUGUGACUGCGUACCUUUUGUAUAAUGGGUCAGCGACUUAUAUUCUGUAGCAAGGUUAACCGAAUAGGGGAGCCGAAGGGAAACCGAGUCUUAACUGGGCGUUAAGUUGCAGGGUAUAGACCCGAAACCCGGUGAUCUAGCCAUGGGCAGGUUGAAGGUUGGGUAACACUAACUGGAGGACCGAACCGACUAAUGUUGAAAAAUUAGCGGAUGACUUGUGGCUGGGGGUGAAAGGCCAAUCAAACCGGGAGAUAGCUGGUUCUCCCCGAAAGCUAUUUAGGUAGCGCCUCGUGAAUUCAUCUCCGGGGGUAGAGCACUGUUUCGGCAAGGGGGUCAUCCCGACUUACCAACCCGAUGCAAACUGCGAAUACCGGAGAAUGUUAUCACGGGAGACACACGGCGGGUGCUAACGUCCGUCGUGAAGAGGGAAACAACCCAGACCGCCAGCUAAGGUCCCAAAGUCAUGGUUAAGUGGGAAACGAUGUGGGAAGGCCCAGACAGCCAGGAUGUUGGCUUAGAAGCAGCCAUCAUUUAAAGAAAGCGUAAUAGCUCACUGGUCGAGUCGGCCUGCGCGGAAGAUGUAACGGGGCUAAACCAUGCACCGAAGCUGCGGCAGCGACGCUUAUGCGUUGUUGGGUAGGGGAGCGUUCUGUAAGCCUGUGAAGGUGUGCUGUGAGGUAUGCUGGAGGUAUCAGAAGUGCGAAUGCUGACAUAAGUAACGAUAAAGCGGGUGAAAAGCCCGCUCGCCGGAAGACCAAGGGUUCCUGUCCAACGUUAAUCGGGGCAGGGUGAGUCGACCCCUAAGGCGAGGCCGAAAGGCGUAGUCGAUGGGAAACAGGUUAAUAUUCCUGUACUUGGUGUUACUGCGAAGGGGGGACGGAGAAGGCUAUGUUGGCCGGGCGACGGUUGUCCCGGUUUAAGCGUGUAGGCUGGUUUUCCAGGCAAAUCCGGAAAAUCAAGGCCGAGGCGUGAUGACGAGGCACUACGGUGCUGAAGCAACAAAUGCCCUGCUUCCAGGAAAAGCCUCUAAGCAUCAGGUAACAUCAAAUCGUACCCCAAACCGACACAGGUGGUCAGGUAGAGAAUACCAAGGCGCUUGAGAGAACUCGGGUGAAGGAACUAGGCAAAAUGGUGCCGUAACUUCGGGAGAAGGCACGCUGAUACGUAGGUGAAGCGACUUGCUCGUGGAGCUGAAAUCAGUCGAAGAUACCAGCUGGCUGCAACUGUUUAUUAAAAACACAGCACUGUGCAAACACGAAAGUGGACGUAUACGGUGUGACGCCUGCCCGGUGCCGGAAGGUUAAUUGAUGGGGUUAGCGCAAGCGAAGCUCUUGAUCGAAGCCCCGGUAAACGGCGGCCGUAACUAUAACGGUCCUAAGGUAGCGAAAUUCCUUGUCGGGUAAGUUCCGACCUGCACGAAUGGCGUAAUGAUGGCCAGGCUGUCUCCACCCGAGACUCAGUGAAAUUGAA